rnacentral:rRNA from 1 species
UACGAAGGGGGCUAGCGUUGCUCGGAAUCACUGGGCGUAAAGCGCACGUAGGCGGCUUUUUAAGUCAGGGGUGAAAUCCUGGAGCUCAACUCCAGAACUGCCUUUGAUACUGAGGAGCUCGAGUCCGGGAGAGGUGAGUGGAACUGCGAGUGUAGAGGUGAAAAUUCGUAGAUAUUCGCAAGAACACCAGUGGCGAAGGCGGCUCACUGGCCCGUACUGACGCUGAGGUGCGAAAGCGUGGGGAGCAA